AGGUGGGGGUACAACAGUUGGAAACGACUGCUAAUACCGCAUAAUGUCUACGGACCAAAGGGGGCUUUUAGCUCCCGCCUUUAGAUUGGCCCAAGUGGGAUUAGUUAGUUGGUGAGGUAAUGGCUCACCAAGGCAACGAUCCCUAGCUGGUUUGAGANAAUGAUCAGCCACACUGGGACUGAGACACGGCCCAGACUCCUACGGGAGGCAGCAGUGGGGAAUAUUGCACAAUGGGCGAAAGCCUGAUGCAGCCAUGCCGCGUGUGUGAAGAAGGCCUUCGGGUUGUAAAGCACUUUCAGUCAGGAGGAAAGGUUAGUAGUUAAUACCUGCUAGCUGUGACGUUACUGACAGAAGAAGCACCGGCUAACUCCGUGCCAGCAGCCGCGGUAAUACGGAGGGUGCGAGCGUUAAUCGGAAUUACUGGGCGUAAAGCGUACGCAGGCGGUUUGUUAAGCGAGAUGUGAAAGCCCCGGGCUCANCCUGGGAACUGCAUUUCGAACUGGCAAACUAGAGUGUGAUAGAGGGUGGUAGAAUUUCAGGUGUAGCGGUGAAANUGCGUAAAGAUCUNAANGAAUACCNAUNGCNAANGCANCCNCCUGGGNUCAACACUGACCCUCAUGUNCCAAANCGUGGGGAGCAACCGGGAU
rnacentral:rRNA from 1 species